GAAAUGCGAUAAGUAGUGUGAAUUGCAGAAUUCAGUGAAUCAUCGAAUCUUUGAACGCACAUUGCGCCCCUUGGUAUUCCAUGGGGCAUGCCUGUUCGAGCGUCAUUGACACCCUCAAGCUCUGCUUGGUGUUGGGCCCCGCCGCCCCGGCGGGCCCUAAAGUCAGUGGCGGUGCCGUCCGGCUCCGAGCGUAGUAAUUCUUCUCGCUCUGGAGGUCCGGUCGUGUGCUCGCCAGCAACCCCCAAUUUUUUUCAGGUUGACCUCGGAUCAGGUAGGGAUACCCGCUGAACUUAA
rnacentral:misc_RNA from 1 species